GACGAACGCUGGCGGCGUGCUUAACACAUGCAAGUCGAGCGGUAAGGCCCUUUCGGGGUACGACGAGCGGCGAACGGGUGAGUAACACGUGGGUGACCUGCCCUCAGCUCUGGGAUAAGCCCAGGAAACUGGGUCUAAUACCGGAUAUGACUUCAUGACGCAUGUUGUGGAGUGGAAAGCCUUGUGCGGCUGAGGAUGGGCCCGCGGCCUAUCAGCUUGUUGGUGGGGUGAUGGCCUACCAAGGCGACGACGGGUAGCCGGCCUGAGAGGGCGACCGGCCACACUGGGACUGAGAUACGGCCCAGACUCCUACGGGAGGCAGCAGUGGGGAAUCUUGCGCAAUGGGCGAAAGCCUGACGCAGCGACGCCGCGUGAGGGAUGACGG
rnacentral:rRNA from 1 species